ensembl:lncRNA
GCUGACGGUGCAGAUGUGUCUGCCCCAACAAGAGCUGCUUGUUGGAGAUUGUUCCUACUUUGCUUUGUGGGGCUGUCUGCCUUCUUAAAGAAUUGUGAAGUGUGAUGUGACGGCUUUCCUGAUCUGUCCUGUUAAAAAAAAGUGAAGAAAAGGGAAAGGAACAAUAUAAACAGGAGGGGAGCAGCUGUUUAUGAGGGUGGAUAGUGAUAGGACAAGGGGGAAUGGUCUUAAAAUGAGACAGGGGAGGUUUAGGUUGGAUUUGAGGAGGAAUUUUUCCCCCAGAGGGUGGUGACGCACUGAACAGGUUGCCCAAGGAGGCUGUGGAUGCCCCAUCCCUGCAGGCAUUCAAGGCCAGGCUGGAUGUGGCUCUGGGCAGCCUGGGCUGCUGGUUGGCGACCCUGCACAUAGCAGGGGGUUGGAACUGGGUGAGCACUGUGCUCCUUUGCAACCCAGGCCAUUCUGUGAUU